rnacentral:rRNA from 1 species
CUACGGGGGGCAGCAGUUAGGGAUAUUCGGCAAUGGGGGAAACCCUGACCGAGCAAUGCCGCGUGAAUGAAGAAGUAUUUCGAUAUGUAAAGUUCUGUUGUUAAGGAAGAAAGGUACGAAUAGGAAAUGAUUCGUAAUUGACGGUACUUAACCAGAAAGCCCCUGCUAACUACGUGCCAGCAGCAGCGGUAAUACGUAGGGGGCGAGCGUUAUCCGGAAUUAUUGGGCGUAAAGGGUGCGUAGGCGGCCUGUCAAGUCCGAGUUGAAAGCCCACGGCUUAACCGUGGAGGGUGCUCGGAAACUGAUAGGCUUGAACCCAGAAGAGGCAAGUGGAAUUCUAUGUGGAGCGGUGGAAUGCGUAGAUAUAUGGAGGAACACCAGUGGCGAAGGCGGCUUGCUGGGCUGGUAUUGACGCUGAUGCACGAAAGCGUGGGGAGCAAACAGGAUUAGAUACCCUGGUAGUC